AUGAGCAAAAACAUGCUAUAAGAAAAAAUGAAAAAUAAAUUGGAUUAGAAAACAUCUCUGUGGAGAUGACAGAAAAUAAUAUUGUAUCUUAAGGCUUCAGUCUUCUCAGGGAAGUAGUAAUUGGCUACACAUUCUUCCAGGAAUGCGAUGGUCACAGUAAUUAGGAAUUUAAAGCUUGUAGGAAGAAAAUCUUGAAUUGACCUUGCUGUCAUUAAGAGGAACGAGUUAUUUAUUGUAAGAGAUUGGUGUAGAACUGCCGGACAUGUUGCUAAAGAUACAGGAUGAGUUUGUAGAUGACAAAGUGCUUGGUCAUUUGGGACCAGAAAUAGAAAAACUGACUAUACGUCAGCUCUGGUUGGGUAAGAGUACACCAGAGGCUUAAGGUAUUCAGGGCAUCUCUGGGAGUAAUAACAAAAGCAUUGAUAAAAUUGCUUACCAUAGCCAAGCACCAGAGAAAGAACUUCACAUUCUUACAAUGUACAAAACUAUUGGCUACAAAAUAUGAAUCAGGAUUUCAGAGUCUCAUCUUAUAUAAUGGAACAUUUUUUUUGCCCUCCUUGAAACAGAUCAUUACCUAUGAAGAUUAUAGUUGGUUAUCUAUACAAUUACUUGUACAUUAAGUACCUUAGUAUAUCCCUUUCUGUGUAUCUUCAACAUUAUUUGAGUAUAUAGCCUUUUAGAAUGUUAGGUACAUUUAAAAAAAUUUCUUUUCUGUGAACCUAUGGAUUAUAUUGAAUAGGCCCUUUUCUAAACACACAAACACUGGAGACGUUUGGGGAGGGGGAGGAGAAAAAGAGAACAGUGAGGAGGUACCAAAAAUUUGGAAGUAGUCAAAAUAUUACAUAGUAUUUACUUCUCAAUUUAAGAUAUACCAUAUUAUUAAAAUUACUGUACCAUUAGACAAAUGUUACCACUGAGCUUCUUUUAAUAUUUCAUAUGUCAUUAAAAAAAAAAUCUAGUUAUUUUCUUCCUGAGUUUUCUUUCACAGAGAAUUGUAAUUGAAUUUGGCCUUGUGAUUUAAUUUUAUGUAGAAUAAAUUUGUUAAAAAUUACCUAUCAAAUUUAUGUGACUCAGUCAAGUCUGCCAAGUCACUCUGGACAACAGACUGAAACCCUGUCUUAAAAAAAAAAAAGGUGGGGGG